GACGAACGCUGGCGGCGUGCCUAAUACAUGCAAGUAGAACGCUGAAGGAGGAGCUUGCUCUUCUGGAUGAGUUGCGAACGGGUGAGUAACGCGUAGGUAACCUGCCUGGUAGCGGGGGAUAACUAUUGGAAACGAUAGCUAAUACCGCAUAAGAGUAGAUGUUGCAUGACAUUUACUUAAAAGGUGCAAUUGCAUCACUACCAGAUGGACCUGCGUUGUAUUAGCUAGUUGGUGGGGUAACGGCUUACCAAGGCGACGAUACAUAGCCGACCUGAGAGGGGGAGCGGCCACACUGGGACUGAGACACGGCCCAGACUCCUACGGGAGGCAGCAGUAGGGAAUCUUCGGCAAUGGACGGAAGUCUGACCGAGCAACGCCGCGUGAGUGAAGAAGGUUUUCGGAUCGUAGAGCUCUGUUGUAAGAGAAGAACGAGUGUGAGAGUGGAAAGUUCACACUGUGACGGUAUCUUACCAGAAAGGGACGGCUAACUACGUG
rnacentral:rRNA from 1 species